AGUGAACGCUGGCGGUAGGCCUAACACAUGCAAGUCGAACGGCAGCACAGUAAGAGCUUGCUCUUACGGGUGGCGAGUGGCGGACGGGUGAGGAAUACAUCGGAAUCUACUUUUUCGUGGGGGAUAACGUAGGGAAACUUACGCUAAUACCGCAUACGACCUACGGGUGAAAGCAGGGGAUCUUCGGACCUUGCGCGAUUGAAUGAGCCGAUGUCGGAUUAGCUAGUUGGCGGGGUAAAGGCCCACCAAGGCGACGAUCCGUAGCUGGUCUGAGAGGAUGAUCAGCCACAGGGAAACUGAGACGCGGCCCAGGCUCCACGGGGGGGCAGGGGGGGGGAAUUUGGGAAAAGGGGCGAAAGCUUAGCCAAGCCAUCCCGCGGGGGAGAAGAGGGCCUUGGGGUUGAAAACCCCUUUUUUUGGAAAAAAAAAGCAGCAAGUAAAUACCCCGUUUUUGGGGGGGUCCAAAAAGAAAAACAACCGGCUAAUUUGG
rnacentral:rRNA from 1 species